rnacentral:rRNA from 1 species
UGCGGGGGGAGCAAGCGUUGUUCGGAUUUACUGGGCGUAAAGGGCGCGUAGGCGGUCAGCACAAGUCAGUUGUGAAAUCUCCGGGCUUAACUCGGAAAGGUCAACUGAUACUGUGCGACUAGAGUGCAGAAGGGGCAACUGGAAUUCUCGGUGUAGCGGUGAAAUGCGUAGAUAUCGAGAGGAACACCUGCGGCGAAGGCGGGUUGCUGGGCUGACACUGACGCUGAGACGCGAAAGCGUGGGGAGCGAACAGG